GAUGUUCUAACGUGGACCCGUAAUCCGGGUUGCGGACAGUGUCUGGUGGGUAGUUUGACUGGGGCGGUCUCCUCCUAAAGAGUAACGGAGGAGCACGAAGGUUGGCUAAUCCUGGUCGGACAUCAGGAGGUUAGUGCAAUGGCAUAAGCCAGCUUGACUGCGAGCGUGACGGCGCGAGCAGGUGCGAAAGCAGGUCAUAGUGAUCCGGUGGUUCUGAAUGGAAGGGCCAUCGCUCAACGGAUAAAAGGUACUCCGGGGAUAACAGGCUGAUACCGCCCAAGAGUUCAUAUCGACGGCGGUGUUUGGCACCUCGAUGUCGGCUCAUCACAUCCUGGGGCUGAAGUAGGUCCCAAGGGUAUGGCUGUUCGCCAUUUAAAGUGGUACGCGAGCUGGGUUUAGAACGUCGUGAGACAGUUCGGUCCCUAUCUGCCGUGGGCGCUGGAGAACUGAGGGGGGCUGCUCCUAGUACGAGAGGACCGGAGUGGACGCAUCACUGGUGUUCGGGUUGUCAUGCCAAUGGCACUGCCCGGUAGCUAAAUGCGGAAGAGAUAAGUGCUGAAAGCAUCUAAGCACGAAACUUGCCCCGAGAUGAGUUCUCCCUGAGACUUAGAGUCUCCUGAAGGAACGUUGAAGACGACGACGUUGAUAGGCCGGGUGUGUAAGCGCAGCGAUGCGUUGAGCUAACCGGUACUAAUGAACCGUGAGGCUUAACCUU
rnacentral:rRNA from 1 species